UGUGCGGCAAGCCUCUGAGCGCGCCUCUGGGCGCUCGCUGCGUGUGUCUUGCUGAGGCUUGUUUUGGCUGUGCGGUUAAGGGAGCGUUGUUCAUCCUGGGUGUGUUAGGGGAUUUGUCUUAUAACGAGAAGCUUUCCUUAAAGUUUGCCUUUAGCAGUAGCGUCUGGAACAGAGGCUGUCGCGGGGUGGAGGUUGGGAUGAGCUCUGUCAGUUAUGGGAGCGCUUCCCCUUUUGCAUGACGCUUCUGUGGGUGGAAUUUGGAUGCUUCAAGUGAAGCCUAUAACAGAGAAGUAGAGCAACAUAACGAGGUGGUCUUGUCUCUGUAGGUGGGUGAUGCCGAGCACAGCCAUGAAGAAAAAGGUGCUGCUGAUGGGUAAAAGUGGGUCUGGGAAGACCAGCAUGAGGUCCAUUAUCUUUGCAAACUACAUUGCCAGGGACACACGGCGCCUGGGUGCCACAAUUGAUGUGGAGCACUCCCAUGUUAGAUUCCUAGGAAACCUGGUGUUAAACCUGUGGGACUGUGGAGGGCAGGAUACCUUCAUGGAGAACUACUUCACCAGUCAGCGAGACAACAUAUUCCGCAAUGUAGAAGUCCUCAUCUAUGUCUUCGAUGUAGAGAGCCGUGAACUGGAAAAGGACAUGCACUACUACCAGUCCUGCUUGGAGGCAAUUCUUCAGAACUCUCCUGAUGCAAAGAUCUUCUGUCUAGUGCACAAGAUGGACUUGGUGCAGGAGGAUCAGCGGGAUUUGAUUUUUAAAGAGCGGGAGGAGGACUUAAGGCGCCUUUCUCGCCCCUUGGAAUGCGCUUGUUUUAGAACGUCCAUCUGGGAUGAAACACUUUACAAGGCUUGGUCCAGUAUAGUCUAUCAGCUGAUCCCCAAUGUCCAGCAGCUGGAAAUGAACUUGAGGAACUUUGCUCAGAUCAUCGAGGCAGAUGAAGUGCUUCUGUUUGAGCGAGCCACUUUCCUGGUCAUUUCUCACUAUCAGUGCAAAGAACAGCGGGAUAUCCACAGAUUUGAGAAAAUCAGCAACAUUAUUAAACAAUUCAAAUUGAGUUGCAGUAAGCUGGCUGCUUCUUUCCAGAGCAUGGAAGUCAGGAACUCUAACUUUGCUGCUUUCAUUGACAUCUUUACAUCGAAUACUUAUGUGAUGGUGGUUAUGUCAGACCCUUCAAUACCAUCUGCAGCUACACUGAUCAACAUCCGCAAUGCCAGAAAACACUUUGAGAAGCUGGAAAGAGUGGAUGGACCAAAGCACAGUCUGCUCAUGCGCUGAACAUUGGCCAAGGCACAUGGUCUUUGGGGGGAGAAAAAAAUGAAUUGGAACUACAUUUUCUUUUUUAGGAGAAUCUAACAAUGUGGAUGUCUUUGUGGGCUUUGAAAUGAGUGUGCUGCUUACCACCGCAAUCUUUAUUUUUUCUCCUUUUAACGUUGGACACUAGUCGCUCAGAUAAUGUCUGGAUACACUGCGGACCUUCAGAAGAGACUUCCUGGCAUAUAUGGGAUUGGGAAGAAGCAAGGACAGGUGAUGUGCACAUGGUCUCAUACUUCCGGUUGUCACAGUAGCACAUGGCAGAGCCUUUUUGAGUGUUCUGCUCCCAGGUGAUCAUACAAAUCACAGGGAUGGAAUAUUUACUAUUUUAUCGGUAGGUUGCUAGAACACAUUUAUAAAUUUCUCCUUAUCUUCAGUCAUGAAAAUAAAUUUUUGCUACCAGGGAUUUUGGAUCCUAGAGCUUUGGAAAGUGGGCUUUCUUUCUCCUAAAAUCUAGGGCAGCUUUGGCAAGCAGAUGUAAAAUGGCUACAUUUCUCCUUACAUACUACUUGGUGGGGGGGUUGACUGAAAGCCAUUGCAGACUUUCAUUUGAGAGCUCUUCAUGUUGAGGCAAAAUUCACUCAGUGGGUCAAUCAGUCAGGAUAACAUUGGUCUCGUUACAUCACUUUGUCAAAGUGAUGAAAAGGUCAGAGUGAAUAGAAGGAGCCAAUGGCCCUUAUUUCCCAGGCAGUGAGAGACAGUCUUGGCAUGCCAGGUCUUCAUCCUGGUGAGCCAGGAGAUGCUGACGUGGGCAAGUAGGAGUACUAGAAUGUGAUUGUUAUGGGUUGUGUGUGCAUGAGCUAUAUUAGCUAUGUUUGCGAAGAGCCAGUUGGACAGUGUCUGACAGCAAUAUGACUUGACAUUACCGUCUAUUUUUAGUGAAAUUUUUGUGUGCAUUUCUAUUAAACAUAGGAGCAACAAAAGCACUGUGAGUUAGGGGAAUCUCUCUGACUUGGUGGAUGGGAGUUGAUGCUUGUCAAAGCAUCUUUUUCCUUUUUUUUUUUCUUGCUGCAUCAAAUUACUAUAUACAUAUAAAAAAAAAAAAAGUGUGGUGAAUCUGAACCUGAGCCUGGCUCUCCACUUUGUAUUCUCUGAAUCAUGCCUUUCUCCUGUAUCCGUGCCUACACACAUACUGGGGGAAAAAAAUCUGAAAGGGUGAGUCUUAUGCGAAAACCGAAAGCUAAAGUGCACAUCUUGGCUGGAGAGCUGAAGAUGGGUUAUCCACAAACUCUUUCAUUAAUUCUGAAUCGUUACAAUAUUAAACACCCAUGUCUUGCACCGCCUACUCAGCAGAUGUAUUUGUAAUAUGUAAGGCGAGGUAUAUUUUCAAUGAGAAUCAUCAAGUCGGCAUCCCUGUGGGAGUGGAACUCUGCUGCCAAGAUUCUUAUUAAAAAUUCAAAUGUCUGAGUUGCUGGAGAACUUGUGAAUGGACUAGAGAUGCCGAAGUCUUCAGUGCUGAUGCUCCCCUGCUGCUUUGACGAGGUCAGUCCCUGCUUUCACUCCAGUCAAUAGAAGCAUUAUGGUUUUUUGCACCCAAACCCUGCCCUCUGUGCUGCUCAGCAAAGCAGGAGGAUGAAUAGCUUUUGCGCAGAUGCAUACGUUGUCGGGAGUCUCUGGAACUUCAACUUCAGAAGCCUCCAAGCAACUCCCGGGAAGGACUCCGCUCGCCGAAGGCGGGCAGGCCGCUGUCAAGAUUGCAGGAAAGGGGAAGACUGCUUAGGGCUGCAGUUCCAGUGCAGGCUGAAACACCUUCUGUUGAGAGCGCUCCUUCAUAGGUAGAGAGCUGCUGGUGAAAACGAGAUGGAGGAAGGGGGAGUGGGAAAGUCACUGCUGUUAUUUCCAUGGUUACAAAAACUAGUGGGGUUUAUCUCUUGCUCUCCACAGAGAGCAGUCUGCGAGUUGCCAUUCAGAUUCCGUAGAGGAUGAAUUUUUUAGCAUAUGAAGUGAAAAUAAAAAGAAAAAAAGCAGAGUGGGAGAAGCAAGUAGCAAACUGGUGCCAAGGAAGAGCAGUCUCAUAGCUGGUAGAUGGGAGUGAAACCCAGUUUGCAGGGAUGCUGGCUUGCUGAAGCCUUCCCAAGGCCAGUGGUACAAUGAUGGUAGCUGAGGUACUGCUAUUUUAUCUUACUGCAAAUCUGUUUUCCUAAAGCGUGUAUAUUUUGAGGGUUCUGGAAAAUAACCUUUUGCUCUCUGGCAGAGAUGCAACUUGUGCUGCUUUGUGUACACAUCCUCUAACACCGCUGUCAAGCGAGUGUCAACAGUGUUGAUGAAAAUAAGCUGAUGGUUUUAUUUCAAGACAACUCACUUAACUCAC